GGAAGCUGACGGGACUAGCAGAACAAGAUGCUCUGUAGCCGACGUCAGUGUAAGCUAUGUUAAUGAACACAGGUGCUUACUGUUGUGUCUCACAGGUUGAAGGAGAUUGAUGUGAGCGAAUACGACGCCGCUACAUACGAGCGCUUCUCCAGCGCCGUGAGGAGACAAGUUCAGUCACUGCGCAUCAUCCUGGACAGUUUACAGGCUAAAGGGAAGGAGCGGCAGUGGUUAAAGAACCAGGCUCUGGGAGAACUGGACGACACUGAAAUCAUAGAUGGACUAACUGGAGAGAAGGCUGUCUAUAAACGCAGGGGAGAGCUGGACCCAGAGGGUGUGUGUGUGUGUGUGUGUGUGUGUGUGUGUGUGUGUGUGUGUGUGUGUGUGUGUGUGUGUGUGUGUGUGUUUUAUUGUUGGGAAGAUGUUGGGAAGGCCUGGAUUUCUCUCUCUCUUCUUUGUGUGGUGGCUGCAGACUCACAGGAUAUCGGAUGGUGAGCCUGACCCAUGAGACUGGAGCUUAGACAACUACAGCAACCGGAUCAACAGCACAGGGUUUGAUAUUGCUCAUAGAGAAACAAUUUGCUGUGCUUUUGUUUUUUCCUGCUUUAUGGCAACAGGAUUCAGGAUUUUCCAUUUUUCUGAAUUGAACUAUUGAACUGAACUGAAAUGAAUCUGAGAUAUUCUGAAUUUUAACCUUGAACGAUGUCCUGUUCUCAUGUUAUUAUCUUAAAUUAAAGUGGCUUCUGUUAAUGUUCAAUAGGAAUUCUAAGCAAUGUGUGACCUACUUAAGA